CACUAGCCUGAGUAAGGACUCACUCUCUAGUCAGACCCGAAUUCGAUUAACCAUACAUGAAAAAAGCCUCUUCAGAUAGAUCCCACAUCAACACAAAAAUAUGGCAUGACAAACAUAUUUUGCACCAUUAAGAAAAAUAACAUACUUAGGACAUGGUCAUUAUUUAAAAUGAAAGCUCACAUCGUUUGCUUAAUUCCUCAAUCGACUUUCUGUUCCAAUCUCAAAUGACGUGCAAAAGUUCACCAUUUUUUUAAAACAUAGUAUGCUAAAAAUUAGACUUUGCAAAAUAAAUUAAUUUAAAAGCAAUGCAUGCAUCAUACGUGUGUGCGCGCUCAAAUUAUCCUUCAUUCUUUCGUCAACAAAAAAAAUAGAUUCCUCAAUCAAACAAAACAGCAUCAACAAAAUUAUACUUCCAUCCGUCGGUUUUACUCUUACAUACAAGAGACACUCGUGAAUUUAAAUCACGUAGCCAAAAACAGAAAUCUCAUAGCAAUCAAUUCUCUGGCCCAAACAAUCAUAUGCAAACAAAAUAAAGAAACAGGAAAAACAUAUUAUACUCCCAACUACCAACGUACAUACUCCCUACCUACCCAACCAUGUAUAUGUACUAGUAUAUUCCCAAUGAUCUUGAAAACACAAAAGCAAAACUAAACAAAAUAAUUAUACAUACUCCCUAUCCAUCACACAAUGAAAAAGACAACAAUUUAAAAAGAGAAUUGAACAUGAAUACUCCCAAACAUCACACUAAACUCCUCAAUUCAAAACAGUAAACUCUUCCCUCUCUACUUAUCAAAUCGUCACACUCUCUCUGUCUCUCUAAAACUCAAGCGUUCUCUCUAAAUCUCACUUCACAGAAGCACAAAAAUCCUACUCCAGUCACAGCUCUCUCUCUCUCGCUCGCUCGCUGCUGUACCAGCAGCUACUGUCAUCGCUGCCGCUGUCUCAGCUCAGCCCGUUCACAUCAGGCAGAAGUAUUUCCAAGAAUUGGAUUGCAGAGCAAACAAAAGGCAGUUUCUAACGCAUUAAAGAUCGAAACUUUGGGAGAAGAGUGUCAUUCAACAAAUUGCAGAAAUUCAAUUGGUGGACUACCGUGAAUGUAUAUGCCAUGGAAGAUUUCAUAAAUAACAGAUGAUUUACCUUUAAUUGGUAGGAAGAAAACUUGCUAACAACAGGAGAGGAAUUGAAAUUAGAGCUCUCUCGUUUCUCCUGUUAUCGUGAAAUUGUGCUAUGGAAUCAAUGCAUAACGAUUAGUAAUUACUAAAUUGGAUUGAAGAGAUAUACCUUUUGUUGAAUAGAACAAUCUGCAAUUGCAGGAAGUUUCUUGAAGAACUCACGAUUUUCUA